rnacentral:tRNA from 1 species
GCGGAUGUAACUCAGUGGUAGAGUGUCACCUUGCCAAGGUGAAAGUCGCGAGUUCGAAUCUCGUCUUCCGCUCCA